rnacentral:rRNA from 1 species
UGGCUCAGAGUGAACGCUGGCGGCGUGCUUAACACAUGCAAGUCGAACGGACUUAAGGGGCUUGCUUCUUAAGUUAGUGGCGCACGGGUGAGUAAUAUAUAGCUAACCUGCCCUUUAGUGGGGGACAACAGUUGGAAACGACUGCUAAUACCCUAUACUCCUUCUUACUAUAAGGUAAGUUGGGAAAGAUUUAUCGCUAAAGGAUGGGGCUUUAUUGUAUCAGCUAGUUGGUGGGGUAAUGGCCUACCAAGGCUAUGACGCAUACCUGGUCUGAGAGGAUGAUCAGGCACACUGGAACUGAGACACGGUCCAGACUCCUACGGGAGGCAGCAGUGGGGAAUAUUGCACAAUGGAGGAAACUCUGAUGCAGCAACGCCGCGUGGAGGAUGACGCAUUUCGGUGUGUAAACUCCUUUUAUCGGGGAAGAUAAUGACGGUACCCUAUGAAUAAGCGCCGGCUAACUCCGUGCCAGCAGCCGCGGUAAUACGGAGGGUGCAAGCGUUACUCGGAAUCACUGGGCGUAAAGGAUGCGUAGGCUGGAAAUCAAGUCGAGAGUGAAAUCCAACGGCUCAACCGUUGAACUGCUCUCGAAACUGGUUACCUAGAAUAUGGGAGAGGUAGAUGGAAUUAGUGGUGUAGGGGUAAAAUCCGUAGAUAUCACUAGGAAUACCGAUUGCGAAGGCGAUCUACUGGAACAUUAUGA